rnacentral:lncRNA from 1 species
AGGAACUGGAAUGCACUGUGUGAUGCCCAAGAGAGUGCUUUUUCUUUUUCUUUUUUUUUUUUUAAUUUGGUAUUGAUCUAGGGUAACAAGUAGCUCCAGCCAGGGAAGCAGUAUGGCUUGCUUGGCAUGUGCAUGGGUGUCACUUGCUGCGGCAGGGCCAGAGGAUGCAGGAAGAAAGGGGCCUGGCUGUGGUUUACAUGAGUUCAAGGGGAGAAGUUCAUCAAAGAGAAAUCCACAGAGAUUAAGAACAUAGUGACUGCAGUAUUUGCAAGAAGUUGCUGAGCAAAAAUUGUUGGAAGAGGACACAAGUGGAAAGCAUCGCAUACUUCUGCUGAAUUUUAUUCCUCCUUGAGUACCUAUUCUGGCUGCUGAUGGAGACAAGAUACUGAAUUAUGAACUUUCAGCCUGCCUUGGUAACAGAUGCUCAUUGUGACGUGAACGUAAUUUCAGUACCUGCAUAGGAGAAAUGACGACCGGAGCCACCCGAGCUUAAAGUUAUGCCUACCACCUGCCAUGCUGUCAUUGGACAUCACUGGGACAAGCCUGACUCCAUCUUUCCUUCUCCAGUAAGAUGGCUUGCAAUGAAGUACCCUGAGUCUUCAACUGAUGGAUUCUCAGAAGGUAGCUCCUGGUGUAGCCAUGCAUGUUUUGCUCUCUAACUGCUUGGAGAGAACAAGAUAAAGAAGCUCCAAAUACC